rnacentral:lncRNA from 1 species
AUUUUUUUAAAACUUAGUGUAAAAACUAAAAGCAAGUGAAAAGCUUCUGGAAUUGAAAGAUGGUCAGACUGGUCCUCUUUCUUCGGAUCUAGAAAAAUCACCACCACUGUCCUCAUCCAUAUCACUGUAAAAAGGUAACCACGGUCAUUUCGUUUGCAUGGUUUAUGAGCCAGGCGCUUCCUGUACAUUGCUUCAUUGAGCCCUCCCAACAGCUCUAGCAGGCAGGCACACUUCUUACUCUUCCCAUUCUUCAGAUAAAGAAACCAAGGCCCCAGCUGGCGAAGCGACUGUGACCACAGUAACUGGGUCCGCCGGCCUGUCCCCCAGAGCAGGUUACCCAAGCUGCCUGUCUCACCCGCAGGUGGAAAGGAGUACCCGACCCUGCGGGAGGCGAGCAUGAAUGGCCACAGAACACGGAACUGCAUAGGGCCUGGCUUCCCUGCUGGGUUUGUGCAGAUCACAAUGGCAGUAUUGGGUACAUCAUAGGCGGGCCCCUCCCAGCCGCAUCAGGGAGGGCUAUGGGCCAUGGAACAGCUGAACUUGAACUGGGUACUGGGCAGGCCAUUUCCAAGGUAGCUCUGUGGAGUCCCUGUUCUCCUCCCCAGUAAAAUGGCAAAGCCCCACUGAACAAACACACAGCCAGGCACGUGGAUCUGGAGCCAGGUCCGGAGCCUUGGAAGAGUAUGUCUGUGGCUCUGCUGGAGGCAGGCUCGGGCCCGUGGGCUGAGAAGGUUCACGGUUCAUGGAGGAACACAGGGAUCAGCACAGUGGUGCCGACUUCCCCAAGUGCACGUGCAGUCACGCCCUUCAGCAAGGCCCAGACAGAGCAAGAACCGCCUGCCAGGCUCAGAUUGUCUCCACACUCCCAGAGGGCCCCUUGAUUCCACCUGGCUCACAGCUCAACCUCCCACCUUCGCACCAGUCCCUCCAAAGACAAGGUCCUUGUGGGCUUCUCCCUGCAGUUCUCCUCAAGGACACAUGAUUCUGUCUUUAUCGACUCCGUCCAAACAAUGGAAGUCUCCCACCUCCCAAAGCCUUUAACCCUAGCUGUCUUCUGUCCAUAAAACAUCUCAUUCUUCAGAAAUUAAACUGGGGCUUGCUUAUGUGGCCUUUGAAAUGAAAAGCAGACGCGUCCCUUAGUACAACUUAUCGUUAGUGGAUCAUGCAAGACAACUGGCUGGGAAAAAACCCUCAUGUCGAAAUCAGACCACUCCCACUCAUCGGUGGCCCCUCAGCUUUGCCGUCACACAUACGUCCCUUCUCUCCCCAGUUAGGUGCGAGUUACUUGAUUAUGGGGAAGGUCUAGAAAGGCACAGAGCAAGCGGAACAUGGAUUUCUGCAUGGAUGUGUCCCCAGCUCUUUGAUAAAGUCAAUGUAUUAGCAGUGGCCAUCACGUUUCUUGUUUAUUGAACAUCUACUGUGUCAGGCACUGAAUAUAUAUCAUUGACCUCAAGUCAGCCCCAUUAGGGACACAUUCUUCUUCUUCUUCUUCUUUUUUUUUUGAGACGGAGUCUCGCUGUGUCACCCAGGCUGGAGUGCAAUGGUGUGAUCUCGGCUCACUGCAAGCUCCGCCUCCCGGUCUCAUGCCAUUCUCCUG